CCUCCUCUUCCUCUUCUUCCUCCUCUGUGAUCUUGAUGGCGGAUUCGCGCUGGGAAGGGAUCACUCACGGUGAAGAUGACCCUGGUUGCAGCUGACUCUCUUGGCAAAUAGACACUUGAAUGUUUGACUCAGGUGAUCUGUGACCCAAAGUACAGCCAGAAGAAACAGGGUGACUCCAGCUUUAAAUGUGAAGAACGGGAAUCCAAAUACUCACGCAGUAUGUGUUCAAGAAUUAUAACCAUGGAAAGAUUUGAAGAAAACAGUGUAACCGAGAAAAUCAAGUGGGCUGUGGUCAGAGGCCCAGGUUGACUGGCAGGAGACUACGAGUCCCGGUGGAAUACGAUGAUGCCAGAUGGCAGGAUAGAGCCCAUGUUGGAUUUCCCCCAGAGUCCAUCACUACCUCUGGAGAAGAGACCAGCUCACCUCCGAGGGCCGUUCUGCCUCUACAUGGACAUGGACGUAUUUAUUUGUGUAUCCACCUACUUUCUCAUUCAUUCAAAACUCUUUGUUUUACUGAGCAUGUAUUAUGGUCAGGUCCUGGGAGUAAAAGCAAGACUCCA